UUGUAAGUAACAAUAUUUACCAAGGUUCGAGUCAUACUAACUCGUUGUUUAGAG
rnacentral:snRNA from 1 species